CAGUUUUUUCGUCCCUCGCGAAGAAACAUAAACAGUAUUUGUGAAAUUUGGAUUAGAAACUAUUAUUUUAUUAGUUUAUUUUGUUGUGUUUAAGUGUUGUGUAUUUGUACCUACUGGAUAAUAUUUUCCAACAUAUUUAAUUAAGCAAAAAGCAUCUGUUUUACAGGUGUGACUGCUAAGUGGUCGUACUCGCCACUUUAACCAAGCAUUGGUGGGACCUUCAGAGAUCAUAAUGCGAAUUUCUUCAUACCAUGUAAAUCUAUAUACAUGUAUUAAUAAAUGCGUUUGCUUUA